rnacentral:rRNA from 1 species
GAUGAACGCUGGCGGCGUGCUUAACACAUGCAAGUCGAACGAGCCUUCGGGCUAGUGGCGGACGGGUGAGUAACGCGUGGGAAUCUGCCCUCAGGAGGGGGAUAACGGCCGGAAACGGCCGCUAAUACCCCAUAUGCCGAGAGGUGAAAUGAAUUUCGCCUGAGGAUGAGCCCGCGUCUGAUUAGCUAGUUGGUGGGGUAAUGGCCCACCAAGGCGACGAUCAGUAGCUGGUCUGAGAGGAUGAUCAGCCACACUGGGACUGAGACACGGCCCAGACUCCUACGGGAGGCAGCAGUGGGGAAUUUUCCGCAAUGGGCGAAAGCCUGACGGAGCAACGCCGCGUGAGGGAUGAAGGCCUCUGGGCUGUAAACCUCUUUUCUCAAGGAAGAAGACAUGACGGUACUUGAGGAAUAAGCCACGGCUAAUUCCGUGCCAGCAGCCGCGGUAAUACGGGAGUGGCAAGCGUUAUCCGGAAUUAUUGGGCGUAAAGCGUCCGCAGGCGGCCUUGUAAGUCUGUCGUUAAAGCGUGGAGCUUAACUCCAUUUCAGCGAUGGAAACUACAAGGCUUGAGUGUGGUAGGGGCAGAGGGAAUUCCCGGUGUAGCGGUGAAAUGCGUAGAUAUCGGGAAGAACACCAGUGGCGAAGGCGCUCUGCUGGGCCAUAACUGACGCUCAUGGACGAAAGCCAGGGGAGCGAAAGGGAUUAGAUACCCCUGUAGUCCUGGCCGUAAACGAUGAACACUAGGUGUCGGGGGAAUCGACCCCUUCGGUGUCGUAGCUAACGCGUUAAGUGUUCCGCCUGGGGAGUACGCACGCAAGUGUGAAACUCAAAGGAAUUGACGGGGGCCCGCACAAGCGGUGGAGUAUGUGGUUUAAUUCGAUGCAACGCGAAGAACCUUACCAGGGUUUGACAUCCUGCGAAUCCCUUGGAAACGAGGGAGUGCCUUCGGGAGCGCAGAGACAGGUGGUGCAUGGCUGUCGUCAGCUCGUGUCGUGAGAUGUUGGGUUAAGUCCCGCAACGAGCGCAACCCACGUCUUUAGUUGCCAGCAUUUAGUUGGGCACUCUAGAGAGACCGCCGGUGAUAAACCGGAGGAAGGUGUGGAUGACGUCAAGUCAUCAUGCCCCUUACAUCCUGGGCUACACACGUACUACAAUGCUACGGACAAAGGGUUGCAAGCUCGCGAGAGUUAGCUAAUCCCAUAAACCGUGGCUCAGUUCAGAUCGUAGGCUGCAACUCGCCUACGUGAAGGAGGAAUCGCUAGUAAUCGCAGGUCAGCAUACUGCGGUGAAUACGUUCCCGGGCCUUGUACACACCGCCCGUCACACCAUGGAAGUUGGCCAUGCCCGAAGUCGUUACUCCAACCCUUGUGGAGGAGGACGCCGACGGUGGGGCUGAUGACUGGGGUGAAGUCGUAACAAGGUAGCCGUACCGGAAGGUGCGGCUGGAUCACCUCCU